UAAAAAAAGAAAAUCUUUAAAAACAAACCAAUAUGAUUGCAAAGUAAGAAAAAAACAAGUAGGUUUCGUAAGAUGUCAGGCGAGGUGCCGGCGGAAUGCGAUCGGAUUUACCAGUCAUUGUUGCAGUGCCACCGGCGAGUCCCUGCCGGUCCGUCUCGUGAAGCCGCGUGCCGCCACCUGAACCGUUCUCUGGCCGAAUGCAUGAUCGCCUUCAUUUGCCCUGAGGAAUCAGCGGCCGUUAAGACCCUUUGUGCCAAUCAAGCAACCGCCGUUAAGCGGUCUCAGUGCCAACAAGCCCAGAUCUCUCUCGCCACCUGCAUCUCUCUCCAUCAAGAUCCAUCUUAAAACCCUAAUCCCCUAUUUGUAGAACAGGAUCCAUCUGCAUGACUUGUUUCGACGGUUUGAUCUUCUUUAUGGGCUCCUCAAAAUCAUCACCAUCUUCAUCGGUUAAAGGGGUGCUGCUGAUGAUGAUGAUGAUGAUUUUGAACCCCCCAUUCAGCCGAUGAUAACAAACAAAGCUCGAAAGUUAAAGUUAAAUAAAAGGCCAAAGAAAGUAAACGUUGAAGAUGAUGAUGAUUUUGAAGCACCAAUUCAAGAUUUGAAAAAAGGCCAAAAACACAAAAAAGAGGGAAAAUACUAUAACUGAUGAAGAAGGUGAUGAUUUUGAUGAGCCCAUAAAGAAGAUCAAACCGUCGAAACAAGAUAUGCAGAUGGAUCCUACAAAGAGUAAAAAGACGAUUAAAGUAGCGGAACCAAUUAGGACGGAACCAAGACCGUACUAUGCAUAUCAUCAUGAGACAUUAAGUCUUAGGUGUAGUCCUUCUGUUUUCUUGGAUACAAUAAGAUAGUUUACAGAAGCAAAGAUAGCGGAUGUUAAAAGCAUGGGAUUUGGUCCUGUUCUUGAUAUAAAGGUUAGUUAUAUAAGCACACAUCUAGGCUUUUGGCUCCUACGAAACUAUGAUGAGCAAUAAAACACACUAAACAUCGAAAAUCAUAAGAUAUGAAUCACAAGAGAUUCACUAUAUGAUUUGUUUGGUAUUCCAAAAUGACCAAAUCCGGUACUUGAAAAAAAUACUGCUACUGAUGGGGUCGAAACAACUAUUGAUGAGUUCAAAAACCAGUGGACCGACAUCAAUAGAAUUACUCAUUCAUUGGUUGCAAAAGCUAUGAGAAAACAAACAAAUGGCGGCAGGUUAUUCACGUUAAAUUUUUUAGCCUACUAGAACACGUUAUUUGUAGAGAUUACAAAGUCAACAACAGUUAAACAAAGUUUUCUGCUUGCCAUUGACAAAGAGGAAGACAUUUCGAAGCUGGAUUGGUGCUCGUUUGUUUUAGAAUCACUUAAACGAACUAGGCAAGGUUGGAAAAAAAAUGGACUCACAAUACAACGGGCCGCAUUUCUGAUGCUUCUGUACACCCAUGAAUACAACAAAAGGCACCAAAUUUUCAAUGAAGUUGUGGAACUGCCUAUCAUAAAGUAUGUAACAUCUCGUAUGAUUGACGACAUGGAAGAGUACAUAUACAACAAUGGGCCGCUGUCAGAUGUUGAAGAUUAUGAUGAAUUUGACAAGGAUGAAGAAACGCAUGGCAAUGAAAACCAUCAGCAUGUGGAUGAUGAAAACCUAAAUCGGCAGGAUUAAUAGCAUGCGAUAGCCUCGGACAACAUCAUUACCGAUGAUCAUUAAAACGAACAGGCUCCGACAACAGACUUCGAUGUUAUUGACAGACCUAUUCAAUGACAACAUCCCAUUACACGAGGCUGCUGCAGUACAAGAAAACAUCAUCGCAUUAGAAAUGACAGAUCAGCGUACGACAGAUGAAUUCACCAUACCACCUGUGGAUACCACAAAGGUCUACAGAAGAAGAAACGAGGCUGAGAAAGAUUUAAUGGACAAAUGUUACAUACUAUCGACUACUGAUUGGUUUGAGAACUGGACUCCUAGUGAUGAUAUUUCAGAGUUGAACCUAGCUAUGGGCAUCGGGUCACAAACGCAAAAACUAAUUGACUACUGCAGCACUCCGCUUCAACUAACCGGGGUAAGCUAUGAUGAUGGUACACGGGAAACCUCCAACAAAAAUAAGAAGGUGUUGUUGAAAAACAUGGACAAUAACAUAAAUAAAUACAUUGCUCUCGUUACGGAAAUGAACAAUAUCGUUACCGACGCAAAGGAAAAGUGUUACUGGAAUCCAAAUAUAAUGAGAAUGUGUAAAAGAUAGGAUGAUGCAGUUAAGAAUACCGUCUCAACGACUGAUCAAGUAACCUCUGGAGGUGAUGAAGCUCUUGUAAACAAAGUUGGAGAGGGUGGUGAUAAAAUUCAAGAGUUAAGAGGGGAUAAAGAUGCAACCGUACAAAAAGAAAACACAGGAAAAACAAAAGCUAGACAAGAAUUUGUGUAAUUUGUUAAGAUUAACGGCAAUUUAAGUUAAAUGAUGAGAAAACGUUUGUGAUUUUAUAGGUUGUGAUGAUGUUGAUAAUGUGAUAGAUGACAAUGGGGGUAUUUCAGACUCAUGCCUGGCUGCAUUACAAACCAUAGAACCAGGUGUAUACAACCAGACGAGAGAAGUGAUACAAGCAGCAACAGAUGUGGUACACGAAAUGGAACAAGAUGUAAAUUUAGCAGAGUCCAGUCAGCAAAAAUCACAAAGACUUAAUACAGUAACUGAGUCGAUGUUGAAUGAACUAGAAAAGAUAAACCCUGACGUCUAUGGUAAAGAAAUGCCUCCCACCACAUCCGCUGAAGAAACAGAUGUAGUGACGGAUGCAGAAAUGCAGUCGGUGGAGAUGCUUUUAAGAUUGGCUCCCAUCCUACAAACGUCAACUGACAGUAAACAAAAAACUCAUGUGACUACUAACGAAAAAAUGGAUGAAAAGAGAUUGUAUGAACUAGUGAGAACGCAUAUAAAAAAGUGGAGGGAUAAGAACGAAAAACGAAUGGCAGAAUUAGGUGACGUAUACCGAUCCCUUACUGCAAUAGGAUAACUAGCUUAUAUGAGCCACUCCUGGAACGUGACCAAACGAUCAUCUGUUACCUCUUAGCUCCGAUCGGAAAUAUUAGCUCAGUGAUGUACAAGCCUAAAAGCGGAGUGGAAACAUUAAAAAUCAUUUUUGAAAGCUUUCACCCAUCGCAAUUCGUAGCUUCAAAUGGAAUGGACGCUUUUGUAGAUGUGUUGAACUUUGAAGAGAAAAAAAGGGACAAAAAAUCAUCACCAUACAGGCUGUUCUUGCAAAGUACAAUGAUUCCUGACGUAAUGUAUGGGCCUAACUACAAUGACAAUGAACGAUUGAAAGUAUUUGCAUCAAACCUAGAAGAUAUACUAGGUAAAUAUGAGGUCAAGAACUUAACACAGUGGAUCUUAUCUUCAUUCCAGUACUACUAUCUGAUCAUUUCUGGUGCAUAUGCUUUCACUUGAAAAAUGGCGAAAUUGAGUUAAUUGAUAACUCUAGGAUUAAACAAUCGUUUAGCAAACGCUACCGUGGGCGCCCCGAAAUGCUGCGAAAAGUUCUAGUUCUAUACCUAAAAGACAAGAUACGACAAAAAGAAUGGAUAAAAAACUUGUAAAACGACAAGCAUAAUAUGAAAAGAAAUGGAUUUGAGAACUCUUCAAAACGGAGUUCAUUGUGGUGUCUUCACUAUGAGACAUAUGGAGACGUGCAAAGGCAAAUCACCAUGGAAUCUGGGUUUUGUGAACGAAGAUAAAAAGACCAUUCAAGAUUCACAGCUUCGAUUCUUGAGAUACCAGUAUCUUAGUAAGAUUGUAUUGUCCGACUACAAUCUUGUAAGGAAACAAGUCUUUGACAAAGCUAAGGAAUUUGCGAAGACCGCAAGCACCGUAGAUGUGUUGAACGAUCUAGAUAACAAAAUCAGGGAUCGAUUGGAUGAGUUCUUUAAUUGUGACAAAGUGUAAACAAAUGCUAUGUCGUAGAAUUACUUAGUUACAAUCAUAUUUGAAUUAUUCUUUUUUAUUUUUUUU